CAGCCGCCGCGGUAAUACGGAGGGAGCUAGCGUUGUUCGGAAUUACUGGGCGUAAAGCGCACGUAGGCGGUUAUUCAAGUCAGAGGUGAAAGCCCGGGGCUCAACCCCGGAACUGCCUUUGAAACUAGAUGACUGGAAUCUUGGAGAGGUCAGUGGAAUUCCGAGUGUAGAGGUGAAAUUCGUAGAUAUUCGGAAGAACACCAGUGGCGAAGGCGACUGACUGGACAAGUAUUGACGCUGAGGUGCGAAAGCGUGGGGAGCAAACAGGAUUAGAUACCCCGGUAGUCCCUGUCUCUUAUAC
rnacentral:rRNA from 1 species